rnacentral:rRNA from 1 species
UACGUAGGGUGCGAGCGUUGUCCGGAAUUAUUGGGCGUAAAGAGUUGUAGGCGGUUUGUCGCGUCUGCUGUGAAAAUCCGGGGCUCAACCCCGGACUUGCAGUGGGUACGGGCAGACUAGAGUGUGGUAGGGGAGACUGGAAUUCCUGGUGUAGCGGUGAAAUGCGCAGAUAUCAGGAGGAACACCGAUGGCGAAGGCAGGUCUCUGGGCCACUACUGACGCUGAGAAGCGAAAGCAUGGGGAGCGAACAGGAUUAGAUA